UUAGAUCAGAAACAAAUUACAAGAAAAUAAUGUCAUCAAACAAUUAGUAAGAAUUUUUUUUAAAAAGACGUAAACAAAGCUUGGCUCCAAUGUAUUCGAAACUCAUUCACCUCCAGUUAUAGGUUAGACAGUGAGCACUGCUGUCUUCAGAGAAAUGACUAGAAGGUCCAUUGAUAGCCAAGAAAGAUGUGCAAUAUCAAGCAGUAGGGACUGCCUGCCAAGGGAAGUGGACCCAGAUAUUUGAAAAAUGUUUCUGAACAAACUGAAAGGGUUUUCUGCUUUACCUUCUACUCCUAGGAAGCUCGGUCCCCAGUUCCACUCACUCAUUCAGGAAAGUCUAGUGUGAAGCGUGUCAUGAUUCAGAUGAUUCACACGGGUGGCAACUGAGAUCACCUUGAAAUCAGUGCUUGAUGGGAGAGCCAGGUGCAGUCCAGGCUCUGACAUACUUGGCUGGUGACUUCAUAUCACUCACUCAGCCUCUCUGACCUCCAUUGUAACUGAUUUCUGAUGGCCUUUCCACAACUAAAGUCAAUGAUUCCAUAAAGUAAUUGGGCCAUGCCAGAUUGCAGCUACUUUUUAUAUCUGCUGAUUUUUUUCUUGGAGGUAUGUGUUCAUGAGAAUCUCUGCUGUACCCUUUGGAGCCUGGUGCCGGCUGUCUGACUCUUACUGGUUGGAAGAAGCUCCUGUGUGCCUAAAGCAUUUUCUGAAUUAAGUUCUUUUCAGUCAUUUCCCCUCAGGUGUUAACCAAUGAGACUAUUCUUUGACAAAAGUCCGCUUCCCCCCACCUCACUGCCCUCCUUAUUUUAUGUCAUGAAAUAAAAUUAAGUAUCAGGAGAGAGGCCAUCAAACAACUGGGACUGAU